UACGUAGGGUGCAAGCGUUGUCCGGAAUUAUUGGGCGUAAAGAGCUCGUAGGCGGUUUGUCGCGUCUGCUGUGAAAACUCGGGGCUUAACUCCGGGCCUGCAGUGGGUACGGGCAGACUAGAGUGCGGUAGGGGAGACUGGAAUUCCUGGUGUAGCAGUGAAAUGCGUAGAUAUCAGGAAGAACACCCGUGGCGAAGGCGGCUCUCUGGGACGGUACUGACGCUGAGACGCGAAAGCGUGGGGAGCGAACAGG
rnacentral:rRNA from 1 species